GUAACGGCUCACCAAGGCUACGAUGUAUAGCUGGUCUGAGAGGAUGAUCAGCCACACUGGGACUGAGACACGGCCCAGACUCCUACGGGAGGCAGCAGUCGGGAAUCUUGCACAAUGGGCGAAAGCCUGAUGCAGCAACGCCGUGUGAGCGAUGAAGGCCUUAGGGUCGUAAAGCUCUGUUGUUAGGGACGAAGGGUGAAGGGUUAAUAGCCCUUAGCCUGACGGUACCUUUCGAGGAAGCCCCGGCUAACUACGUGCCAGCAGCCGCGG
rnacentral:rRNA from 1 species